rnacentral:rRNA from 1 species
AACGAACGCUGGCGGCAGGCUUAACACAUGCAAGUCGAACGCGUGUAGCAAUACACGAGUGGCGCACGGGUGAGUAACGCGUGGAUAUCUGCCUUUUGGUUCGGAAUAACCCCGGGAAACUGGGGCUAAUACCGGAUGGUUCCUUCGGGAUAAAGAUUUAUCGCCAAAAGAUGAGUCCGCGUACGAUUAGCUAGUUGGUGGGGUAAUGGCCUACCAAGGCAACGAUCUGUAGCUGGUCUGAGAGGAUGAUCAGCCACACUGGGACUGAGACACGGCCCAGACUCCUACGGGAGGCAGCAGUGGGGAAUAUUGGGCAAUGGGCGCAAGCCUGACCCAGCUAUGCCGCGUGAAUGAUGAAGGCCUUAGGGUUGUAAAGUUCUUUUAGGUGGGAAGAUAAUGACGGUACCACCAGAAAAAGCUCCGGCUAACUUCGUGCCAGCCGCCGCAGUAACAC